AUACCGGGCCUUUUUGGGCUUGGUAAUUGGAAUGAGGGAGAGUUAAACGGACCAUCGAGUAUCCAUUGGAGGGCAAGUCUGGUGCCAGCAGCUGCGGUAAUACCAGCUCCAAUAGCGUAUAUUAAAGUUGUUGCAGUUAAAAAGCUCGUAGUUGGAUUUAUGUGCGCUGUCCGCGGGUGGCCUGCGCCCAAAAGGGCGUUUCGAUUCGGCCCCGGUGGCGCCUUGAAAUCUGCAGCUGGGGGGACGUUGGCCUUAACUGGUCGGCGACCGCACGCCGGCUGCUCGGUUACUGUGAGAAAAUUAGAGUGUUCAAGGCAGGCAUUGGGUGCAAUUGAAUACAUUAGCAUGGAAUAAUAAAAUAUGGCUCCUGCCGUAUUUUGUUGGUUUUGACUGGUGGGAGUAAUGAUUGAUAGGGACGGUUGGGGGUGCUAGUAUUGAGCGGCCAGAGGUGAAAUUCAUGGAUUCGCUCAAGACUAACUUAUGCGAAAACAUUCACCAAGGACGUCCUCUUUAAUCAAGAACGAAAGUUGGGGGAUCGAAGACGAUCAGAUACCGUCGUAGUCUCAACCAUAAACUAUGUCGACUUGGGAUCGGCGGUAGUUUUUUCAUUAAGACACUGUCGGGACCACGGGAGAAAUCAAAGUGUCUGGACUCUGGGGGAAGUAUGGUCGCAAGGCUGAAACUUGAAGGAAUUGACGGAAGGGCACCACCAGGAGUGGAGCCUGCGGCUUAAUUUGACCCCACACGGGGAAACUUACCAGGUCCAGAGAUGUAGAGGAUUGACAGAUUGAAGCUCUUUCUUGAUCACUUCGGUGGUGGUGCAUGGCCGUUCUUAGUUGGUGGAGCGAUUUGUCUGGUUAAUUCCGUUAACGAACGAGACCUCAGCCUGCUAGUGUAGUCGGCUGGAUUGCCUUUGGCGAUCCGUGAUUUCGACUUCUUAGAGGGACAAUCGACGCGCAGUCGAUGGAAGUUUGAGGCAAUAACAGGUCUGUGAUGCCCUUAGAUGUUCUGGGCCGCACGCGCGCUACACUGCUGGGCUCAGCGAGUUUUACUUGGCCGAGAGGCCCGGUUAAUCUUGUGAAAUCCCAGCGUGCUUGGGCUCGCCUCCUGCAACUGGAGGCGCCAACGAGGAAUUCCUAGUAGACGCAGGUCAUCAACCUGCAUCGAUUACGUCCCUGCCCUUUGUACACACCGCCCGUCGUUCCAUAAGAGUGAGGCAUCCGGUGAAUUCUCGGGAGAGCCUGGGCGUGGCCAGCAAUGGUCUGCUUGGGUUUGAACUUGCAUAAACUUGG
rnacentral:rRNA from 1 species